CAAGUCGAACGAUGAACCUUAGCUUGCUAGGGGGAUUAGUGGCGAACGGGUGAGUAAUAUAUCGGAACGUACCUUGUAAUGGGGGAUAACUAGUCGAAAGAUUAGCUAAUACCGCAUACGCCCUGAGGGGGAAAGUAGGGGAUCUUCGGACCUUACGUUAUAAGAGCGGCCGAUAUCUGAUUAGCUAGUUGGUGGGGUAAUGGCCUACCAAGGCGACGAUCAGUAGCUGGUCUGAGAGGACGACCAGCCACACUGGAACCGAGACACGGUCCAGACUCCUACGGGAGGCAGCAGUGGGGAAUUUUGGACAAUGGGCGAAAGCCUGAUCCAGCCAUUCCGCGUGAGUGAAGAAGGCCUUCGGGUUGUAAAGCUCUUUCGCAAGGGAAGAAAACUUACAUUCUAAUAAAGUGUGAGGCUGACGGUACCUUGAUAAGAAGCACCGGCUAACUACGUGCCAGCAGCCGCGGUAAUACGUAGGGUGCGAGCGUUAAUCGGAAUUACUGGGCGUAAAGCGUGCGCAGGCGGUUUUGUAAGUCAGAUGUGAAAUCCCCGAGCUCAACUUGGGAACUGCGUUUGAAACUACAAGACUAGAAUAUGUCAGAGGGGGGUAGAAUUCCACGUGUAGCAGUGAAAUGCGUAGAGAUGUGGAGGAAUACCAAUGGCGAAGGCAGCCCCCUGGGAUAAUAUUGACGCUCAUGCACGAAAGCGUGGGGAGCAAACAGGAUUAGAUACCCUGGUAGUCCACGCCCUAAACGAUGUCUACUAGUUGUUGGUGGAGUAAAAUCCAUGAGUAACGCAGCUAACGCGUGAAGUAGACCGCCUGGGGAGUACGGUCGCAAGAUUAAAACUCAAAGGAAUUGACGG
rnacentral:rRNA from 1 species